GUAGGCACUACCCAUGAGUGUCUGGAAAGGGGUACCAGUAGCCGAUGCCGAACUGACGGCAGGGGCAGAGACUCUGGAGAAGUUGCAGACGCUUCGUGUUAGGGAAGUUGCAUUGCUACAACAGAUUUUUAAGCAACAGAGCAAUCCAGCCAAGUUUAUAUUUUAGAGAGAGAACAUCUUCCAUGUGGAGGAUCAGUUGAAAUAGAAGAGAUUGUUAGAAUUGUAGGGCGGUAGUAUUCCAGGCAGGAGAUGACGAAUGCCAGACACCACCUAGUCACAGACAUAGCUUUUGCAGAGAUCAGCUACAUGUUGUUGUUUUUUAUUUACUCUCUCAUAUAAUUUUUUUUAAGUCCUGGACCACAAAAUACUGUGGCAUCGUUGGAAAAAUCUGAGACUCGAUUCUAGUCUUUUUUCUGUUUGCCUGCUCUGCAGCUUGGGCUUAACGUUCUCAAGCCUUACUUUUUCAUUGUGAAAUAAGAACGGUGCUACUUAACCCGAGAACUCCCCAGGCACAUAGACCCGUGGCGUGUGAGGAGCAGUGAAGGAGAGAAGGAAUGGAAGUGCUUUGGGGACCCCAAGAGCCCUUCAGAAACCGUUUGUUCUUUUUAAUAUUGAGCAUUAAAAGUGAAGGCAUUCCAUUUGUUUCACUCAAAAACAAAUUCUGUUCUUCUGAUAGCCUGUUUUUUUUUUCCACUCCCUUUUUCUAUAGUCAGAUCAGUUCCUGAUGGGCAUUCUCCAGUCCACACUAUUGCAUCUGAUUGGAGGCUAUGCAAAAUUUCCCAGAGACAAUGAAUUUUGACGACAGACUUCUUGGUGUCCACUGUACCCAUGGUUUCAACAGGACUGGCUACCUCAUGUGCAGAGCACGGGCUCCAGACGCGCAGGCUCAGUAGUUGUGGCUCACGGACCCAGUCGCUCCGGGGCAUGUGCGAUCUUCCCAGACCAGAGCUCGAAUCCGUGUCCCGUGCAUUGGCAGGCAGAUUCUCAACACUGCGCCACCAGGGAAACUCCGGAAUAAAGCCUUUUUGUAGUCAUGAUAUUUGAUUGAUGUAGAAGGCAUGUGGCCAGAUGAUGCAAUUGAAUACUGGUGUUUUAUCUUUACAAGUUCUCCGUCAUUCCAUAAGAAAGCUGCUCGUCUUCUGGUUUCAUAAGAGAUGGUGAACAGUGGUAAAAUAUCCAGUUGACCGAAAUUUCUAGAGUACACUUCAGGGAGCGAGUGAUGGGGUGGAAUGUUGGGGCAGAGUGAGAGAUACAGAUUCUGGUGAGACUGAGAGUCAUGCACAAAAAUUACUGGGCUGUGGUGAAGGGAGAACAAAACUAAAUCAGGUUCCUGCUGGUGGACAGGAAGCCAAGAUGAAGAAGAAUGGUGCGUAGCUGGGCAGUGUAAUUAGGCCCCUAAGUGCUGUGUCUCCUGAUAGUAAUUAUGAACAGAAACCAAAUAAUAGUUACUAAUAACAUGGAGGUGACCAAUCCUUGAGAGCUGAGGCAGAGAGAAGGAAAGAUGGCAUUAUGCCUUGUCUCUGGUGCCUUGAGUUUCCCAGGCUGGUUUGUGACCAAUCUUGGGUGAAAUCAUAACUAAGUCAUUUCUGCUAAGGUGAUCAGCUUUCGUGGGGUCCUUUCUCUGCACUCUGUCCAAUGGUAAAGCCCACUGGUUUAUGCCUCCUGGAAAACAGUUAUUCCAAAGCAGUAUAAGUGAAGCAUUGAUGAAACAGCCAUGAAGAGCAUGUUUCCACAUGGCCUCGCACCACCUUUUCAAAGUGCUGUAAAACUUUUUUCAUCCAAAAAUCAGUAACAGAAAAGGAUUGGGAUCAAAUCCCGUACAGAGGUAGUGUAAGAAAAAAGAGAAUAAGGAGCAGAAUAGCAUGUCUUCAGACAAUAAAAUCAAGUUGGAAAAGACAGGUCCACAAAACAGAUCAAAACUGUAACCUAUUAUUUCAAAGUGGGCUAAAAGAUGUUAGGAAAAACAAUGCGAAAGAUGAAAGAACAUGGAUCGAGGAGGGAAUGGGAAGUUAUUGUUUAGUGGCUAUAGAGUCUCUGUUUGGGAUGGUGGAAAAGUUCUGGAAAUGGUAAAUGCUGAUAAAUGCCACCUAUGGGUGUUUGGUUUUAGUUGAUCUUCUUCCAUGAAAGGGUUUGGAGAGAUUCAGAAGCUAUGCUGCUGCCUCCAUCUUUCUGAUGUCCUGCUCAAUCUUUUGACAUAAUUAUUUUGAAUUUGCACAGUGGUGAUGGUUGCACAGCAUUGUGAAUGUAUUUAAUGUCACUGAAUUGUAUACUUGAAAAUGGUUGAAAUAAUAAAUUUUGUUUUAUGUA